UGACUUGACAAUCAACUAAACAAUUGUUUCUAGUUUAGCUAAGGGUUUGUUAAGAUAUGGUCAAUGUUAACAUUUUGAGAUUGGAAUGUUGUUUUGUUAACCCAGUGACUUUUCAGUAAACCUAUAGACCAUGGAGUCUGAAUGGCUUAAGUGGCAUUAAAUUUGAUGAUGGAUAGAUGUCAGGAAAUGGAUGGUAAAAGCACACCUGUGACAAGAGUAAUGAAGUACUUGACAUGCAUGGUGGAAGUUGAUCGAGACUAUCAAUUCUUCGAGAGGUCCAGCGACUUUAUACUCGCAAGAAGGAUAUGGUAUGGAAUAGCUUUCUACACCUCUGGGCUGGCAGAUUUGUAAGAUUGGAAGUUGUUUCAGUGUGGAGAGAGAUGAACACUUUGUAUGGUCAGGUAAAAUUUGCUUUUGAAGUCACAAGUAAGUCUCAAUAAAGGCAUUUCCAUUUCUAGUUUUCUAACUAGCUAUGUAUUGGAAAGUUGGUGGUUCUACUCUUAAAAGGUGUCUGUCUUUGUCCCAAGUAAGUCUCAAUAAAGCCAUUUCCAUUUCUUGUUUUCUAACUAGCUAUGUAUUGGAAAGUUGGUGGUUCUACUCUUAAAAGGUGUCUUGUCUUUGUCCGGAACAAUGUCAUUAAGGCACAUUUUCCUCUACCUUGAAAGCUUGACAGUCACCAAAAUAGAAUGUAGAAUUGUAUCUGUUAAAUAGAAAAAUUGCUUAGGUAACAUUGUUACUUUUUGAGAUUGCAAUGUUGUUCUGUUAACCCCAGUGACAUUUCAGUGAACCCUUGCAACAUGUUGGCUGGAUUUAUGUCGGAAUGUGUGUGGCUGUGUGAUAUUGGCGAAGUGAUUUUUAUGACAUUGGUGAAGUGUGAUUGUGCUGGAAAGUGACAUGAUGGAGCAUUGUAAACCUAUAGACCAUGGAGUCUGAAUGGCUUAAGUGGCAUUAAAUGUGAUGAUGGAUAGAUGUCAGGAAAUGGAUGGUAAAAG